rnacentral:rRNA from 1 species
UACAGAGGUCUCAAGCGUUGUUCGGAUUCAUUGGGCGUAAAGGGUGUGUAGGUGGCGCGCUAAGUCGGGUGUGAAAUUUCGGAGCUUAACUCCGAAACUGCAUUCGAUACUGGCGUGCUUGAGGACUGGAGAGGAGACUGGAAUUCAUGGUGAGCAGUGAAAUGCGUAGAUAUCGUAAGGAAGACCAGUGGCGAAGGCGGGUCUCUGGACGAGU